GCGCUGAUGGUGUAAGACGUAGCAUCUCUGCCCAAAAGCAGAAGGUGCGGGUUCAAGUCCCGCCCGGCGCA
rnacentral:tRNA from 1 species